rnacentral:rRNA from 1 species
UACGGAGGGGGCUAGCGUUGUUCGGAAUUACUGGGCGUAAAGCGCGCGUAGGCGGGCCUGCAAGUCGGGGGUGAAAGCCCGAGGCUCAACCUCGGAACUGCCUUCGAUACUGCGGGUCUCGAGUCCGGGAGAGGUGAGUGGAAUUCCUAGUGUAGAGGUGAAAUUCGUAGAUAUUGGGAGGAACACCUGUGGCGAAAGCGGCUCACUGGACCACAACUGACGCUGAUGCGCGAAAGCUAGGGGAGCAAACAGG